CAGGGUGUAGCGCAGCCUGGCAGCGCACCUGUUUUGGGAACAGGAGGCCACAGGUUCGAAUCCUGUCACCCUGA
rnacentral:tRNA from 1 species